CUAUAAUGAAAAAUUUUCAGCCAUAAAAAGGAAUGAAGUUCUGAUUCAUGCUGUAACAUGAAUGAGCCUCAAAAACAUCUUGCUAAGUGAAAGAAGCCAGACACAAAAGGUCACAUAUUGUAUGAUUUCAUUGAUAUGAAAUGUUCAGAAUAGAUAAAUCCAUAGAGACAUAAUGUGAAUUGGUGGUUUCCAGGAACAAAGGGAGAGGGGAGAAUAGGAAGAAGCUGCUUAAUGAGUAUGGGAUUUUACUUUAUGGAUGGAAGUGUUUUGGAACUAGAUAGAGGUGGUUGUUGCACAGCAUUGCACAGUGUACUAACUGCCAUUCAGUUGUUCACUUUAAAAUGGCUGAUGUUAUGUUAUAUGAGUUUUACUUCAAUAAAUUAUUUUUUAAAAUGCUUGAUUAAGGAGUGUGAUCAGUUUGACUGCCCAUUACUG
rnacentral:lncRNA from 10 species